rnacentral:rRNA from 1 species
UACGUAGGGUGCGAGCAUUGUCCGGAAUUAUUGGGCGUAAAGAGCUCGUAGGCGGCCUGUCGCGUCGGAUGUGAAAGCCCGGGGCUUAACCCCGGGUCUGCAUUCGAUACGGGCAGGCUGGAGUUCGGUAGGGGAGAUCGGAAUUCCUGGUGUAGCGGUGAAAUGCGCAGAUAUCAGGAGGAACACCGGUGGCGAAGGCGGAUCUCUGGACCAGUUCUGACACUGAUGAGCGAAAGCCAGGGGAGCAAACAGG